CGGCGGACGGGUGAGUAACGCGUGGGUAACCUGCCCUAGAGACCGGGAUAACAACGGGAAACCGUUGCUAAUACCGGAUGCCUUUACAGGGAGGCAUCUUUCUGUAAAGAAAGCAUAAGCGCUCUAGGAUGGGCCCGCGUCCCAUUAGCUAGUUGGUGAGGUAACAGCUCACCAAGGCGACGAUGGGUAGCCGGCCUGAGAGGGUGACCGGCCACACUGGGACUGAGACACGGCCCAGACUCCUACGGGAGGCAGCAGUAGGGAAUAUUGCGCAAUGGGCGAAAGCCUGACGCAGCGACGCCGCGUGAGUGAUGAAGGCCUUCGGGUCGUAAAACUCUGUCCUCAGGGAAGAAAAUUUGACGGCACCUGAGGAGGAAGCCCCGGCUAACUACGUGCCAGCAGCCGCGGUAAUACGUAGGGGGCGAGCGUUGUCCGGAAUUAUUGGGCGUA
rnacentral:rRNA from 1 species